rnacentral:rRNA from 1 species
AACGAACGCUGGCGGCAUGCCUAACACAUGCAAGUCGAACGCUCUCGGGGGCUUUGGCCUCGGGGGAGUGGCGCACGGGUGAGUAGCGCGUGGGAACCUGCCCUUUAGUGGGGGAUAACCGAGGGAAACUUCGGCUAAUACCGCAUACGCCCCGGGGCGUGGUCUUCGGAUCAGGCUGUGGGGGAAAGGAUUGAUCGCUAAAGGAGGGGCCCGCGUCGGAUUAGCUGGUUGGUGGGGUAACGGCUCACCAAGGCGAUGAUCCGUAGCUGGUCUGAGAGGAUGAUCAGCCACAC